AGCAGCCGCGGUAAUUCCAGCUCCAAUAGCGUAUAUUAAAGUUGUUGCAGUUAAAAAGCUCGUAGUUGAAUUUCGGGAUCAAUACGUCGGUCGUGCUUAGGUACGUACUGGCGUAAUUGAUUUCUCCCUUCUGACGAACCAUGAUGUCAUUAACUUGGUGUCAUGGGAAAUCAGGACUGUUACUUUGAAAAAUUAGAGUGUUUAAAGCAGGCUCACGCUUGAAUACAUUAGCAUGGAAUAAUGAAAUAGGACGUUCGAUCCUAUUUUGUUGGUUUUUAGGAUCAACGUAAUGAUUAAUAGGGAUAGUUGGGGGCAUUAGUAUUCAAUUGUCAGAGGUGAAAUUCUUGGAUUUAUUGAAGACUAACUACUGCGAAAGCAUUUGCCAAGGAUGUUUUCAUUAAUCAAGAACGAAAGUUAGGGGAUCGAAGACGAUCAGAUACCGUCGUAGUCUUAACCAUAAACUAUGCCGACUAGGGAUCGGAUGAUGUUAAUUUUUUAAUGACUCAUUCGGCGCCUUACG
rnacentral:rRNA from 1 species